CAGUCACUGCCAGCCAUAUCAUAGCACUGAAAAAAUAACACAAAUUGAAGAUUUUUUUAAGUAAAAAGGAAGAUUUGACGAUAUUUAUAUAUUUUUUAUAUAGCGUGACGUUUUACUACAAGGAGAUACAAUGCAUUUUACAUUACAAAAGCGAAAUAAGACGUGGAUGCCAGCUAUCAACUUGAGCAUCGUGGGAUUGAUGGUUUAUAUUAUGGCCUGCCCUGCGUCCAGUAUGGAUGUCCUGGUCCAUAACCAGAUCAACGUCCUGAACGGCACCAUGGUGAGGAUCCAGUGCAUCUUCACCUCCUGCUACAAGAUGGAUGUCAACAAGUUUGCCAUGAACUGGACCUACCAGGAGAACACCAACGAGACUGAGGAGAUGUUCAUGACCUAUAAGAAGGGGAUGAUGCCCCUGCGGACAGACCGGUUCAGUGACCGGGUGCAGUUUGUGGGUAACCUGGAAAAGAACGACUUGUCCAUCACCCUCUCUGAUGUCCAGCUGUCGGACGAGGGCGUCUAUAACUGCUAUGUCCGCAACCCCCCUGACCGGAUCCAGGGCCACGGAAUCAUCAACAUGUUUGUCGUCACAGAACUGCCUCCCCCGCGGGACUCGACCAUAGCGGUGGCGAUCGGGGCGUCAGUCGGCGGUGCGCUGGCUGUACUCAUCCUGUCCAUGGUGGUGGUGAAGUGUAUACGGCGCCACAAGAAACAGGAGCUCAUCUCUGACGAGCAGAAGAUGGAAGAAGAGGGCAAGCUGGAUGCAGAGGGGGGCACCGAGGAGGGAACCAAGCAGCUAUAACCGGCCUGCAUGGUCCUGGAGGCCCAAGGUUCGCGGGAGCCCCACCCCCUCCCUCACGCUGAAAAGCAUUCCUGCCUGAAGACGUAUAGUGACCCUUGCUUGAAUCCUCGUCCAGCAUCUGCCUCACCCUACGCCCCCUCCCUCCCUCCUCUUGUCCAGCCAAACAAGAUUGCCGUUAUGGGAAUCCCCAGCCACCAGCCACGCCACCCACGCCACAACUUCCUCUAUCUUCAGUCGGCCAUCUUAUCUCCUCUCUUCUGUGGCGGGAAGCCACAUAAGGUGGAGGAGACUAGGGGACAGCAGCCUCCAAACGACAUUCCUCUUUCCCCUUUUUCUCUCGCUUCUCUCUUAAGAUACAGAUGUAGGAUCUUAAUUUGAUCACCAUGUUGCAGGAGAACUUUCCUGCAAUGCAGGACAUUUAAAAUGUCUACUGUAUGUGAGGUUUAAAAAUGCUUCUGAAGUUUGUAAUUUCCACUUAGAAAUUUCAGACCUGAUUUUCCCUUACGUAAAAUGUAUCAACUCCUAGAAACAUAUCAAUUAAUUAUAAUCCACAUAAUAAUUCACAUUUCCUGUAGCUGCCGGAUUAUUUUCCUGCUGUAGCAAACUGGCUCAAAUUAAGAUCCUACAUAUGUAGAGUAAAUAGAUGGUUUGACAGCCGUCAUUAGUAGGAACGAUCCUGCUCUCUCUCUCUCUCUCUCUCUCUCUCUCUCUCUCUCUCUCUCUCUCUCUCUUCUCAAAUAUUUUCUUGUUCUAUCACAUUACUUAGUGAUGCAUAAUGGCUGGGGCAAAAAAAGUUCCCUGUUCUUUCUGACAACUACUGUGUUCGUCCAAAUGACAACCUUUCUGUAUGAGAAUGGUGUGGAUGGAUUCUUGGCUGUGUGUGUUCGUUUUUAUGUACAGGGUAUAAGCUUGUGAAUGACUACGAGCAGUGUGGGUGUAUACACGUGUGUGAAUAUGUGUGUGUGUGUGUGUGUGUUUGAGAAUGUGUUUGAGUGUCCUUAGAGUGUCCGAGUGUCUUUUCUUCAAACUCAGACCCCUGAAUGGAGAAGCCAGGGAUGAUUUUAUCAGUAGUUAACUCUUCUGAACCCUUGCUUCACCUCCAAUAUGAUAUUUUUGCCUGUGUUGCUUGCUCAUACAUCGAAACGACACACAUUUGUAUUGUUAUAAACUAAUUUAGUACUAUAUCAUACAUUAGCAUGACAUUUUUUGAACACAUUAUGACGGGCACAAUUUUGCGUACAAUGGAUGGAUAAUUAAUUUGUUGGUCUGUUGGUCUGUGAUGAAAUAGUAACAUUGUACAAAAAGUGCAAUCCCCAAAUUAUGUCCCCCUUUUGUCCACCUGCAGGUACCCUUACACAACACCUGAAUGUCCGCCCUCAGUUGGUCGUUGACACUCAAAUGAGCACACAGACACAUUGACUAUACGUGAUCCAACACAUAAGCUUUGAACACCACAUACAGCCACGUAGCUGUUUUGCACAUCAGAAGAGGCCUACACAUACACACAAGCUGAGCACUUUCAGGGAAAACAGAAAAAAGUAAAGAGUAACAUUUAUAUCAGAUACAUAUAUUUAUACGUUUUAACCAAAUACCAAGCUGUACUCUAGAGGUGUGCUUUGAUUACUGUCGCUAUUUAGGUGUGGUCCUCACUGUCUUAAACUAUCAAUGUUUGAAUGUAUGGGACCUCUCUCCUCUGAGGUACAGUGAGGGAAAAAAGUAUUUGAUCCCCUGCUGAUUUUGUGCGUUUGCCCACUGACAAA